rnacentral:piRNA from 1 species
UGUAUUUCACUAAGGGCUUAUCAAACCAA